rnacentral:tRNA from 1 species
GGGCCUGUAGUGUAGCUGGAUAUCACUGAGGCCUCCGGAGCCUCUAACUCGGGUUCAAAUCCCGACAGGCCCG